rnacentral:rRNA from 1 species
GUAGGGGGCAAGCGUUGUCCGGAUUUAUUGGGCGUAAAGAGCGUGUAGGCGGCCAAACAGGUCCACUGUGAAAACUCGAGGCUCAACCUCGAGAGGUCGGUGGGAACCGUAUGGCUAGAGUCCGGAAGAGGAGAGUGGAAUUCCCGGUGUAGCGGUGAAAUGCGCAGAUAUCGGGAAGAACACCCGUGGCGAAGGCGGCUCUCUGGGACGGUACUGACGCUGAGACGCGAAAGCGUGGGGAGCGAACAGGAUUAGAUACCCUGGUAGUCCACGCCGUAAACGAUGGGCACUAGGUGUGGCGGGUGUCGACUCCCGCUGUGCCGAAGCUAACGCAUUAAGUGCCCCGCCUGGGGAGUACGGCCGCAAGGCUA